UUGAAACACCAGUCUGUACGAUCACCGAAGUUAAGCAACGUCGAGCCUGGUUAGUACCUAGAUGGGUGACCGCAUGGGUAUUCCAGGUGUUGUAAG